UACAGUGUGGAAACAACAUCACUGAUAAUGUCAGACUUGGAGCUAGAGGAUAAAGAGAACAUCUCAGAGGUUUUUGCACCUCAUAACUUGUCAGUUACUGACUAGCAACUGAAGGAAACGCUUCUGCUUUGAAUCGCCUACGCCCUUGGCGCCACCUGCUGGUCGCAUCGCGCCAAUGCAUCCCUGAUCCGUGGAGAAUCUAAGCCUACCUUCUGAGUCAAACCUGAGAAAAUCUGGAAUUUCCUACCACCUGGAAGACUAGAUCCAGGAUCAAAUCCUCAGGGAUGGCUCUGCUUACAGUGCGUAGACGGAGGAUCUGAGAACAGUUGAUGAUUAGGAAGCGGAAGUACACGAAGCACAGAGACACAGCACGGUGGCACAGAGAAGAGGAGGAGAGCUACGGAAGCUCUGAGAAGGGCAAGAACCAGCUGCCAGGCCUCACCUGCAUCCUCUUUUUCCAGCACUGGCCCAUCCAGGCUCCCAGACAGAGCUCAGCCUGGCUUCUCACAAU
ensembl:lincRNA Gm27167 predicted gene 27167